GACUUUUUAACUAUAUAAGUAUGUAUUUUGAAAAUAUAAAAAAGAAAAUAAUUUCUAUAAGUCU
rnacentral:tRNA from 1 species